GAUGGAUGGAUGGGUGGGUGGGUGGGUGGGUGGAUGGAUGGAUGGAUAGAAGCAUGUAUGGAUUUAUAUGUAGAUGGAUGGAUUCCUUAGGCCAAGCCGAUCAAUUUGAUGUCUCACAUGCGUGGGUGUGUAAUUCCAUUUAGCCAGAAGAUGACUGACCUCUCUCAACCAAUCAGGGAGCUGGGAGGGAGCGUGGCACUUUCCCACCUUCUGACGGUCAAUCAAAUUGAACUUAUUUCUAGUUUUAAGUACAAACAGUUCAAAAAGAUCAAAAGCAUUCAAGGUCUGUUAAUGGCUCAAUAUUCUGCUUUUUAUAUUCAUUCCUAUGAGAGUUGGUUAAAAUGAUUUGUAGUUCCUUGUGUUGCCAUGGUAACAGAUGACAGGAGUCUGCAUUAAUAAAGCUAUGUACAAUAACACAUGAGUCAUUUAAACUUUGAAUAACAUUUCUAUAUUAAAGUAUGUUGAUACAGUUGUGUCUAAAAUGUUGUUGCUAAGCACGUUGCCAUGGUAAUGCAGAACACAAUAUCAAGUUAAUACAAGACUCCUGGGACCAAGCAGGUUGAAUUGAUGUAACAUAUGUGUGGGUGCACAUUUCCUUUUGGGCAGAAGACGAUUGAAAACUCUCAGCCAAUGAGAGAGCAGCAAAGGAGGAGGGGGCAGUUCCUGCCUUCUGACUAGUGUUAAAAUGUCAGCUAUGCUGCUAGUUUUAAAAGUAUAGGGUUGGUUGGUUGGUUUUAUUUACUCAUUUAUUUAUAUGUGGAUGGAUGGAUUCCUUAGGCCAAGCCGAUCGAUUUGAUGUCUCACAUGCGUGGAUGUGUAAUUCCAUUUAGCCCGAAGAUGAUUGACCUCUUUCAACCAAUCAGGAAGCUGGGAGGGAGCGGGGCACUUUGCCACCUUCUGACGGUCAAUCAAAUUGAACUUGUUUCUAGUUUUAAAUACAGAUAGCUCAAAAAGAUCAAAAACAGGAGUCGGUUAUUGGCUCAAUAUUCAGCUUUUUAAUAUUAAUUCCUAUGAGACUUGGUUAAAGUGAUAUGUAGUUCCUUGUGUUGCCAUGGUAACAGAUAACACAUUUAAAAUUGAAUACAAGAUUCCUGAGACCAAGCUGGUCGAUUUGAUGUGUCAUAUGUGUGGAUGCUGGACAGAAAAUGGUUGAACACUCUCAACCAAUCAGAGAGCAGCACUGUUUUCCCGCCUUUUCCCCUGGCUGUUGGAGGCCUGCAGCUGUACUCCUGUUAAAGGCACAGUCUGCAACAUUUAAAUGUAGAAUAACUUUAAAAAUGUUUUAUUUUGACCAUCUGACCCAAUUUUAUUAAAAAAAGUAAAUAAUCUUUAAUAUUUCAAUUUUCUCCUAAGUCCCUCCCCUCCCCUGUAGAGCUCAGCCAAUAUUUCUGCAAGCCUAACGCGUUGACCAAUAGCGCUGCGUUACCACGAGGGGGCAGCUGUCAAUCAUCGAGCACGAGCAGGUCUCAGCGUGCACAACAGUGUCACGCGCCUUACUUGGCUUACUGCAGAAACAUGGAGCAACAAACCCCAAAUUACAGAUUCCUCGACUGCCUUCCACAUCUCAAAAAACAUUUAAAAAGUUUAAAAGCCCUUCUUCAAAAGUGGCUGUAAGACGUUUGAGACAGUCGAGUAGAAUUUACAUUGGAGAUUGUUUUAAAAGAUGGAGUGAUUUUCGUGAUCUACACGGCCUGAAAACGGAUGAAGAGUUGGCAAAGUAUCUUAGGGACAGGUAAGUUAUUUAUUGUUUUUCGGAUAAAUUUACUUAAUUUACUUUCUUUCACUGAAAGAAGUAAUAGAGCAAACAAGCUUUGUAUGCUUGGUGUCCUAUUGGCUAAUGUAGCAUUAGCUUGAAUGCUAAGUCGACAUGAAUCGAUGCUAGUCGAACUAUUUAUGCUAUAUUUGGAAGAAGUUUGGGUAACGAAAGGGGAUUUUAGUUUUUUUUAUAUGGGAGCUAAUGAUUAGUGUGGCGUUUAACUAUAGGCCAUAUCAGUGUAUUGUUUUAAGCUCUUGUUUAUAACUUCCCCUUUAGCGGGGUUCAGUUAGCAUCUUGAAAGCUGAAUUAGAUGUUUACACUUUCCUGAGCUGCAUGUUUGAUUAAAAUGAGUAAUCGGCAGCUCAUGUAGUACUUGUAGAAGUCUGAGGAGAUGAUUCAGCAGUUAGAAUUAGGUGUGAUUGAUCAGGAACGUAUCCAAAACCUUACGUUUCCAUUAGCACUGAAAGACAUAUUGUGCUAACCUGGGUAGGCCACGUGUACAGAUUACUGUCUGAGUUUGUGGUCUUACCUACGUGAAAACUCCAUAUUAAAAUAAAAGGAAUGAUAAUCAGCUUGUGCAAAAAUCUGUGAAGGCUGGGGAGACAUGUUUAGCUUGUGAUCACUAAUUUUUGGGCUUUGUUUUUUACAGUCAUCAGUCCAAAUAUGAAGCAUCAUCAUCUACACCAUUGAAACGCCAACUGUUUAUUUCUCCAAAACCAGUGCCAGCUCUGUCUAGCAUUCAAGGAGAGUCAUCUGAAAGCUAUGAUAAUUUGGAGGAGGUGAUGGAACAAGGUGAAACUAAGAAACCAUGAUCGUCAACCAACGUUUGACAAGCAAGAAAGGUCUUCCUCGACGCUACAAGCUAAGGCCUGAGGAUCCAAGGUGUUACGGUUUGCUGUCCGGAGUCCCUGCACCAUCAACAGAGGAACUUCUACAACACAUACGGACUCGUGGUGAUGGUAAAACUUUGCCACAGACAUAGGUGUUGGGGGAGGCAAGAGAAAACCCAAAACCUUCUUUAUUUUUGUUUCCUGUGUU